ensembl:lncRNA
GGGGUGGAACCUGGUCCCACCCUUCCCUAAGCUGGCUGCCAUGAAAGAAAGUUCUCUACAGGGAAAUCCUUCUUUUUGGAGAAUUUGACAAGCUCUGAUCCUUGGCAUGGAUAAGAAAAUCUUUCUUUUUUUCAUUGACUGGAUUGUGACCAUCAUCUUUUGUGGAACUGCUGACAAAGAACAGCUUGGUUACAAAGCUCCUUCCCAGGAUCAUGUCUGUGAGCAUGCUGCUGUUGUUGGCCCUGGUAUGUUGAUCUGCACGUGCCUUAAGGAGUUAAACUUCUCAAGGGUAACUUCCCUUCAAGACUGUACCUGAAUAGCUUUCUUCUACCUGCCUCUUUCACAAGUACGUCUCUUUAUAUGACAUAGUAAUUGCACAUAGCUUCUGUCUGACCAGCAUGCCCAGGGACACCAGGUUUCUAG